rnacentral:lncRNA from 1 species
UUCAUUUUACUUCUCUUUAUGGGGAUCUAUUUUGGAAUGCUAAAUAAGUUACCAAAUAACUUUCCUAACAAGCACUUUAAAAUAGAAAACAUACUCAAUACGCUAAUAUCUAAUCAAGUUACUAUUAUUCAUUUCCCAUUUGUAAACUAUUCCUUGGAUUUCAACUUCCAGAAUAUAAUUCCUAGUGUUUUAGAGAAGUUCCUUGGGAGAUGCUUCAAAAUGAGCAUGUUGUUUUGGAGCAUAAAUACAUUUACAAAUUUAUAGAAAAUGUAAAUCUGCUUAGCUUUUAACCAUCCUUAUUAAUUAAGAAGCACAAUGGUAAUGCUUGAUCAAUCAUGACUCAUUUUGAAAAUGUUACCCUACAUUUUUCUAGCAUAUAUUUCCACAGUUUUCAGUCCAUAUCAUGGUAUCGCUCUUUUGUGAGCAAACAUUAUUAACAAAAAUUUCUUAACUUAAACCAACAACUACAAAUAUACAGUAAUUACCAAAGGUCCCCAGACUUUUGGUCAACUGGGGAAGGAUAGAAGCCAGAGGAAAGAAUAUUUUAAGGGCAAAUCCUUAGGCAAGUAGUGACAAAAUCCUUGUCCUUGAAGCUUAUAUAAAUAACUUUCCAGUGUUUUUUUAAUCUUUUCUCUCCCCUCCUCAGUCCCCUCAGCAAUGAGGCAUGUCACUCCACUCGUUCACAUCCAUCUUUUUUUAUUGAUGUCCACUUUGGUGUCUGUACAGGUCAUCAAUUUUGCUGCCUCUUAGGCAGCCAGUGGGAAUGUACAAGUUAAGUACUGGACUUUGUGUGUCGAGCUUGAGGAGGAGGGAAAGGGAGGAAGUGUCAGCUUUCUUUAGCACUAACAGUCCCAAUCAGAUACUGGCACUGGGCCUCAUAAAUCUUGUGGCUGACCCAGGUGAACCCUGAGGCUCAGCGCUCACUGAAAACUGAUCAGGCCUCUGCUUAGUUUAACGGGCCGUUCUCAGUGACAAGUGAAGGGUUCAACAAAUGCACAAAACAGAUAUAUAUUAGUUGAAAAACUAAUGGCUUUUAAAAGAAUGUUUGACAAUUGUUUAAGGCUGUCUGUAGAUCCAUUAUACUGAUAAACGACCGACUUGGUGUAUACUAAAGUGGAGCUGGUUAGGAGGACACCAACCUAAAGUUUGUUUUUUUAUUCUCUUCCCCUGCCACCUCACCCCUUUGGUCAUCUGGCUGUGGACUCCAUGAGCAGCACAUUUAGAAAACCUAGGAAAAUACCUAUGCCGUGUACAUUUAACCUUGCAGCCCAAGUGGAAUAAAAAGGACUCUGAGACUGCCCUCAGUGACCUGCAAUUGACCGCUUGAACUUCUAAGUUAGGGUCAGUUGGGGCCCAGAAUAAGAGGUCAAAAACUGGUCAGCUUUCCCUAGUCCUAACAUGCUGAAUAGGAAGACUUUAUUGCUGUGAUUUAUGCAAUUUGCCGAGACAGGUUAAGGAGAACUUAAAACCCACCAUAGGGCUCACUUGCAUGGGGACACCCUCCUCUUGGAAAAUAAAUUCUGAUUGUCCAGCUGGAAAUCUCUUAGGGAUACGCCUUGAAGUAUUUUACUCUCUGUGUCUACAGAUUCAUUCCCACACUCGACCCCUGAACGUGACAGGGUUAGUGUUUCCAGAUUUAUUUAAACAAUACAAAUGCACCAAAUGAAGCACUUUCAAACCUGAUUAAUUGAGAAGACAGAAUAACCAUCAGUAAUGAAUUAUUUGGGGGAGCAGUAAACUCCUACAAAAGUUACCUCUUAAAUCAGUUGCCUCAGAGGUCCAACCACAAUAAAAGCUACAAUAUUUAAAUCUUUCUGGAUAAAAGGAUUUGGUAUUUGUCUUUGAAGCUUGGUUCUUGUGAACCGUAUCAAGGCUUUUUUUUGGAUAAUGUUAAAUGAAAAUUAUUCUGCUAUUAUUGAAGAGUAAAUUUUAGAGCUCUUACAAGUAAGUUUCUGGUCCUAGUCUGUGUAUAAUAAAGUUAGAAACAUAUCAACACUCAUGAUUUCUGCUUUUACAGAAAUGUGCAAUAUGUAGCUGCCAUUCGUUGUUCAACGUCCAUGCUUGUAGCAAACCAGCAAUAUGGCAUUUGUGACACAAAUCAUGAUAUGGGCAUGAAUGUCAGUUUUACAUAGGUGGAAAGAAAGAAUUGAACCCAGGUCUUUCACAGAUAAAAAGCAACUUGGUGCUAUAAACCUUUAAGCUAUCUUUCUAGCUUUUUCACAGGGCAUUUAUUGCUUCUGGAUGCAUUUGCCUCUGUAACUCAAAUUGGCUUUGAUUUAAUAAAUGCAAUUCACAAAAUGUUAGUCUGUAUGUGGUCUAAUUUCAUUAGCUAAAAGAGAAAAAGGUAAAACUGUGAAAACUAUUCACUUUGAAAAAUGGCUAGUGUAUAAUAUUCAGCAGCUAGUUUUCAUUAGGUUUUUAAAUUCACACUUUAAAAGAAAGGGUAUGCAUGCCACAAAUAUAUGUGUCUGUGUGGGAUUAGGACGAGGCAAUCCCACAUGGGUGCUCUAUCAGUGUGUCAGGUAAAUAACAGCCAAUCAAAUUAUGUGUAUAAUAAGCUUAUUUUGGACAAGCACAAAGGUUAUAAAUUAUUAAAUGUUAAGGAAAAAAAUUUUUGUUCAGAUAUUUAGCUGAUUGAUCUCAAGACCUCUCUAUUUUGUCAAUGUCACACUGAUCUUUCUUCACCCUCUUUAACAUCGCCCAGUGAAAUAUUUCUUUAAAACAGGACCUAGCUGUAAAAGUCGUAUUUCUAAUGGACUUAGGGAAACUUCUUAUAUAUUUCUUUGAAAAAUAAACAAGAUUCUCUCGUGUGGGAUGUGAAGAAGGAAAGGACCCUCCGUACUGGUGCACACCUUACUCUAAUGUUUUCCUGCCAGUUGUGGAAAGUGGGUCUCACCCAGGUUAGAGUUUUUAAAGAUAUGAAUGAGGCCUGUUGAGAGUCACCCAAGGAAAGUUAAGGAAAGGACUAGAAAACUUCAAGCAAGUCCUCUCUUUUCAGGUCAGAUUGUCAAAGCCCUUGUCUUCUCAGCAGCUCAAUUGACUUCUGCCAGUGGGUUCCCAUGCUUUAGUGUGGUUAAAAUGUUGUUUUCCUGCUGCAUUUAAUCUGUUGUAAAAAGGGUAUCUUCAUUCUUGAACAAUAAAAAUUAAAGCUAAUGUUCCCAGUUCACUGUAAAUAGCUUUUUGGAAACUCAGUUAAUUAAAUCUUCCAUUAUGAAGUAUUUUCUAUUACUAGAAGAAAUUAAAAGUAGACAGGGAGCACAGGGCAGCCAUUAAUGAGGUUGCUGAAGAUCCAAAGUGUUGCUGUAUUAUGAGAUUGGUUCCAGAGAAAGUCUGUGGUUAAGCAGAUCCCUAAAGAGAUGAAAGUUUGCUAUACCAAUGAUCACUUUUGAUCAAUAGGUAUUUUUGAAAGCUCUUGAAGCAUUCAAUGGGCAAUUUUAUCUUUAGCCCUCAGUACUAAGUGUUGAUUGACUUGUGAAUGACCUUGUUAAAUUGUAAACAGAUUAACACUGAAAACAUUUUAGUAAGUAAUAAAUUAAAAAUUUAGUAUUCUAUGAAGUACUGCCCUUUUAAGGCAGUUCAUUCCUUCCCAUUCUGCAUGGACUAAACCUUUUCAGCUUUUUGUGUUAUUUCUUAAGUCCAUGCCAACUCAGUCUGUGGGAUUUCCUCAUCACUUGUGUUCAAAACCAUUUCUAUAUUGAUGAAUAUUUGGGAGAGUUGAAUCCUUUCCAGUUGCUUUUCCUGCCAACUCUGCUGGGGUUUUCUCUCUUUGCGUUAAAAUUAAAAUAUAAAAAUAUCAUCUCAUUUUCUUAUCAUCACCAAUAAUUUUUACAAUCUUAAGAACAUUAACUUUAGGUAUUAUGGCCAAAUUUGAACUCAAAAAACAUGCUAUUUUUUUUUUUUCCAGAAUGCCAUCAAUAUAGUUUUACUGAAAGAAAGUAGUUGCCCUCUCAGUUUGCUGUGAGGCACUACUGGCAAUAAAUAAUUGACAGUUAUGUUCCAGAGCUGAGACUCAGCAAGUUGCUUACUUCUUUGCUUGGCAGUUGGCUUUAUUCAACAAGCUGCAGGUCACAAAUGGGGGCUGUGAGGAUUGUCUCUCUUGAUACCCUAAGAAUAAUUUCCUUGUGCAUUUCUCAGUUCUGCAGUUCUAAGAUCUUAUAGGUAACUUGUCUUGGAAAGCCUUUAUCUAACAAAGGAAUGAAUGCUUAAAUGGACAGGAGGCUAAUUUUGAGGUCCAUAAUG